GAUGAACGCUGGCGGCGUGCCUAAUACAUGCAAGUCGAGCGAACGGACGAGAAGCUUGCUUCUCUGAUGUUAGCGGCGGACGGGUGAGUAACACGUGGAUAACCUACCUAUAAGACUGGGAUAACUUCGGGAAACCGGAGCUAAUACCGGAUAAUAUUUUGAACCGCAUGGUUCAAAAGUGAAAGACGGUCUUGCUGUCACUUAUAGAUGGAUCCGCGCUGCAUUAGCUAGUUGGUAAGGUAACGGCUUACCAAGGCAACGAUGCAUAGCCGACCUGAGAGGGGGAUCGGCCACCCUGGAACGGAGACACGGUCCAGACUCCUACGGGAGGCAGCAGUAGGGAAUCUUCCGCAAUGGGCGAAAGCCUGACGGAGCAACGCCGCGUGAGUGAUGAAGGUCUUCGGAUCGUAAAACUCUGUUAUUAGGGAAGAACACAUGUGUAAGUAACUGUGCACAUCUUGACGGUACCUAAUCAGAAAGCCACGGCUAACUACGUG
rnacentral:rRNA from 1 species